AGGUAAGAAAGUAGAAAUGUAACCUGAAACGUGCAAAUAUUUCAUCUAUGAUAUAAUGCGAAAUUUCCUGCUUUUUCAUUUUUCUAGUAUGCCGAUGCUAAGCGAUUACUAAUUUCUUGCUAAUAAAUCCGUGUAUCUGUCGAGUUGAGAUGUUAUUCUACGCAACACAGCCAGUUUUAUAACGUGCAACACGAGGAUUAUCGUUCUCACGUUGAGGAAACUCGCCUCGCAACGAGGAGGGCUCGAAUCCAGGAUCUGUUGAAGGAAAAAUGUAAUUAUUCCAUUUAAUUCUUAAUAUUAAGCUACGUUCAAUCUACACGUAAAAUUACUCGGUCAUUUACAAAGAAAUCUUUUUCCAGGGGCAAAUCCAUCGCUACCUUUUGGAUAAAUUUAGCAGACGUCUAUUUCGAAUUUGGAAAGUAUGCCGAUGCUAAGCAAUUACUUGCCGAAGCUACCAGUCUUGCAGGAAUGUAAUUUCUUGCUAACAAAUCCGUGUAUCCGUCGAGUUGACAUGUUAUUGUACGCAACACAGCCAUUUUUAUAACAUGCAACACGAGGAGGACUCGAAUCAGGAUCUGUUGAAGGAAAAAUGUAAUUAUAAUCGACGAAGCCGUUCCAUUUAAUUCUAAUAAGCUACGUUCAAUCUACACGUAAAAUUACUCGACCAUUUACAAAGAAAUCUCUUUUCCCAGGGGCAAAUCCAUCGCUACCUUUUGGAUAAGUUCAGCAGACGUCUAUUUUGAAUGUGGAAAGGUAAAAAACUAGAAAUGUAAUCUGAAACGUGCAAAUAUUUUAUCUAUGAUAUAACGUGUAUGCAAAAUUUUCUGUUUUUUCAUUUUUCUAGUAUGCCGAUGCUACGCUAUUACUUGCCGAAGCUACCAGACUUGCAAGAAUCUAAUUUCUUGCUAAUAAAUCCGUGUAUCCAUCGACUUGACAUGUUAUUAUACGCAACACAGCCAUUUUUAUAACAUGCAACACGAGGAGCUCGAAUCAGGAUCUGUCGAAGGAAAAAUGGGCAAAUCCAUUGCUACCUUUUGAAUAAAUUUGGCAGACGUCUAUUUUGAA